rnacentral:rRNA from 2 species
UUGGAUAACCGUGGUAAUUCUAGAGCUAAUACAUGCUAAAAACCCCAACUUCGGAAGGGGUGUAUUUAUUAGAUAAAAAACCAACGCCCUUCGGGGCUUCUUGGUGAUUCAUGAUAACUUCACGGAUCGCAUGGCCUUGCGCCGGCGACGGUUCAUUCAAAUUUCUGCCCUAUCAACUUUCGAUGGUAAGGUAUUGGCUUACCAUGGUUUCAACGGGUAACGGGGAAUUAGGGUUCGAUUCCGGAGAGGGAGCCUGAGAAACGGCUACCACAUCCAAGGAAGGCAGCAGGCGCGCAAAUUACCCAAUCCCGACACGGGGAGGUAGUGACAAUAAAUACUGAUACAGGGCUCUUUUGGGUCUUGUAAUUGGAAUGAGUACAAUUUAAACCUCUUAACGAGGAACAAUUGGAGGGCAAGUCUGGUGCCAGCAGCCGCGGUAAUUCCAGCUCCAAUAGCGUAUAUUAAAGUUGUUGCAGUUAAAAAGCUCGUAGUUGAAACUUGGGUCUGGCUGGCAGGUCCGCCUCACCGCGUGUACUUGUCCGGCCGGGCCUUUCCUUCUGGAGAACCUCAUGCCCUUCACUGGGCGUGUUGGGGAACCAGGACUUUUACUUUGAAAAAAUUAGAGUGUUCAAAGCAGGCCUUUGCUCGAAUACGUUAGCAUGGAAUAAUAGAAUAGGACGUGCGGUCCUAUUUUGUUGGUUUCUAGGACCGCCGUAAUGAUUAAUAGGGACAGUCGGGGGCAUCAGUAUUCAAUUGUCAGAGGUGAAAUUCUUGGAUUUAUUGAAGACUAACUACUGCGAAAGCAUUUGCCAAGGAUGUUUUCAUUAAUCAGUGAACGAAAGUUAGGGGAUCGAAGACGAUCAGAUACCGUCGUAGUCUUAACCGUAAACUAUGCCGACUAGGGAUCGGGCGAUGUUCUUUUU